AUGAAAGCAGCCCCCCAUGAAGAGAAUCCACGUCGCCUGUGACUGAGUCGGUCUCCAUAAUAAAAUCACCUUUCCAAUAACUUCCAGCGGUCUUAUUCCCAUAUCCUCCCUGCCCAGCGAUCAAACAGAGGUGGAGUGCUGCUUCAACAGGACCACGCGCUGAAAAAGUCCACAACGUCCACCUCCGGAGCCGGAUACCCUAAGCUGUCUCCAACAAAAUAUCGCAAGAUUCUGAGGAUUCAGGAGAGAGCAAAGGAUCCCAGAGCGAGUCGUUUACGCAUGGUUCAAAGGGGCUGUGGCUGUGCCCAUAGCUCAAUGGGUCUGAUGUGUCAGAUUCCACUUGGAUAAGUGUAAGAGCAAUUCCUUAUAAGAUACGAUCAAUUCCUUGGACGAACCUUUCUUAGUAAUAAUAAUGUGCCUUUUUUCCGGUACAUAAUCAACCUUUGAACUGAAGACUCUGCAAAUUGCACAUAAGUGAAAAUUGCA